rnacentral:rRNA from 1 species
AUUGAACGCUGGCGGCAGGCCUAACACAUGCAAGUCGAGCGGAUGACGGGAGCUUGCUCCUUGAUUCAGCGGCGGACGGGUGAGUAAUGCCUAGGAAUCUGCCUGGUAGUGGGGGACAACGUUUCGAAAGGAACGCUAAUACCGCAUACGUCCUACGGGAGAAAGCAGGGGACCUUCGGGCCUUGCGCUAUCAGAUGAGCCUAGGUCGGAUUAGCUAGUUGGUGGGGUAAUGGCUCACCAAGGCGACGAUCCGUAACUGGUCUGAGAGGAUGAUCAGUCACACUGGAACUGAGACACGGUCCAGACUCCUACGGGAGGCAGCAGUGGGGAAUAUUGGACAAUGGGCGAAAGCCUGAUCCAGCCAUGCCGCGUGUGUGAAGAAGGUCUUCGGAUUGUAAAGCACUUUAAGUUGGGAGGAAGGGCAGUAAGUUAAUACCUUGCUGUUUUGACGUUACUGACAGAAUAAGCACCGGCUAACUCUGUGCCAGCAGCCGCCGUAA